rnacentral:lncRNA from 1 species
UCACGUUGUAUCUUUUGAAGAUUAAGAAUAAGCCAAGUGCCAGUUGAAAUAUCGUAUCCAUGAACUGAGCAAUCUUCAAUGGCUUCAUGGAUUACAGCGAGUGGAGCAGCAGGAUAGAGGCGUAGUGUUUCUUUAAUGACAGAUUGGAGGUACACCAAGUUUUUAGUAUCUGAUUCUGUAACUAAGAGUCUAUCUUUACCAACAUGAAUGUCUAAUUCUUGUUUGACCUUGUUCAAUGCAUCGCGAUUAUUGAGUAAUAAAGAUAAAGCCCAUGUCAUUGUAAUUGAUGUGGUAUCUUCCGCAGCUAAGAUAAGUGCCUAUUAAAUCAUUUACCGUAAAACUAUUAAUAUCAGAUUGAAAUUGGUAUUCAGGCGAAUGAUGAAUAUAAAUAUCAAACAAAUAUAGGAUUUGAUUAAGAAAUGUACGUAC